UGCAAGUCGAGCGGUAACAGGGAUUAGCUUGCUAAUUUGCUGACGAGCGGCGGACGGGUGAGUAACGCGUAGGAAUCUGCCUGGUAGUGGGGGACAACAUGUGGAAACGCAUGCUAAUACCGCAUACGCCCUACGGGGGAAAGGAGGGGAUCUUCGGACCUUUCGCUAUCAGAUGAGCCUGCGUGAGAUUAGCUAGUUGGUGGGGUAAAGGCUCACCAAGGCGACGAUCUCUAGCUGGUCUGAGAGGAUGAUCAGCCACACUGGGACUGAGACACGGCCCAGACUCCUACGGGAGGCAGCAGUGGGGAAUAUUGGACAAUGGGGGCAACCCUGAUCCAGCCAUGCCGCGUGUGUGAAGAAGGCCUUAGGGUUGUAAAGCACUUUCAGGAGUGAGGAAGGGUGUACGGUUAAUACCCGUAUAUUUUGACGUUAACUCCAGAAGAAGCACCGGCUAACUCUGUGCCAGCAGCCGCGGUAAUACAGAGGGUGCGAGCGUUAAUCGGAAUUACUGGGCGUAAAGCGCGCGUAGGCGGUUUGUUAAGUCGGAUGUGAAAUCCCAGGGCUCAACCUUGGAAUGGCACCCGAUACUGGCAGGCUAGAGUACGGUAGAGGGGUGUGGAAUUUCCUGUGUAGCGGUGAAAUGCGUAGAUAUAGGAAGGAACAUCAGUGGCGAAGGCGACACUCUGGACCGAUACUGACGCUGANGUGCGAAAGCGUGGGGAGCAAACAGGAUUAGAUACCCUGGUAGUCCACGCCGUAAACGAUGUCUACUAGCCGUUGGGAAUUUUAUUUUUAGUGGCGCAGCUAACGCGAUAAGUAGACCGCCUGGGGAGUACGGCCGCAAGGUUAAAACUCAAAUGAAUUGACGGGGGCCCGCAC
rnacentral:rRNA from 1 species